rnacentral:rRNA from 1 species
AGAGUUUGAUCCUGGCUCAGGAUGAACGCUGGCGGCGUGCCUAAUACAUGCAAGUCGAGCGAACUGAUUAGAAGCUUGCUUCUAUGACGUUAGCGGCGGACGGGUGAGUAACACGUGGGCAACCUGCCUGUAAGACUGGGAUAACUUCGGGAAACCGAAGCUAAUACCGGAUAGGAUCUUCUCCUUCAUGGGAGAUGAUUGAAAGAUGGUUUCGGCUAUCACUUACAGAUGGACCCGCGGUGCAUUAGCUAGUUGGUGAGGUAACGGCUCACCAAGGCAACGAUGCAUAGCCGACCUGAGAGGGUGAUCGGCCACACUGGGACUGAGACACGGCCCAGACUCCUACGGGAGGCAGCAGUAGGGAAUCUUCCGCAAUGGACGAAAGUCUGACGGAGCAACGCCGCGUGAGUGAUGAAGGCUUUCGGGUCGUAAAACUCUGUUGUUAGGGAAGAACAAGUACAAGAGUAACUGCUCGUACCUUGACGGUACCUGACCAGAAAGCCACGGCUAACUACGUGCCAGCAGCCGCGGUAAUACGUAGGUGGCAAGCGUUAUCCGGAAUUAUUGGGCGUAAAGCGCGCGCAGGCGGUCCUUUAAGUCUGAUGUGAAAGCCCACGGCUCAACCGUGGAGGGUCAUUGGAAACUG